rnacentral:rRNA from 1 species
UACAGAGGGCGCGAGCGUUGUCCGGAAUCACUGGGCGUAAAGGGCGCGUAGGUGGCGACCCAAGUCUGUGGUGAAAGCUCGAUGCUUAACAUCGAGUCGGCCACGGAUACUGGGUGGCUCGAGCACUGUAGAGGCAGAUGGAAUUCCGGGUGUAGCGGUGGAAUGCGUAGAGAUCCGGAAGAACACCGGUGGCGAAGGCGGGUUGCUGGGCCGACACUGACGCUGAAGCGCGAAAGCUAGGGGAGCGAACGGG